AUGUGCUCGAUCGAAGUGGAGAAUCGUUUCAACGCCCGUUUAACGUCAUCGUUUAUAUUAUAAGGACACAAACUUUUCGAAACCGUACAACGUUCGUUCAAGAUUGUAAAGUCCAUUUCAUAAUUACAAGUACGCGUGUUCAAGUU